rnacentral:rRNA from 1 species
GUCUGAUGGAGCACGCCGCGUGAGCGAUGAAGGCCUUCGGGUCGUAAAGCUCUGUUGUUAGGGAAGAACAAGUGCGAGAGUAACUGCUCGCACCUUGACGGUACCUAACCAGAAAGCCACGGCUAACUACGUGCCAGCAGCCGCGGUAAUACGUAGGUGGCAAGCGUUGUCCGGAAUUAUUGGGCGUAAAGCGCGCGCAGGUGGUCCUUUAAGUCUGAUGUGAAAGCCCACGGCUCAACCGUGGAGGGUCAUUGGAAACUGGGGGACUUGAGUGCAGAAGAGGAAAGUGGAAUUCCAAGUGUAGCGGUGAAAUGCGUAGAGAUUUGGAGGAACACCAGUGGCGAAGGCGACUUUCUGGUCUGUAACUGACACUGAGGCGCGAAAGCGUGGGGAGCAAACAGGAUUAGAUACCCUGGUAGUCCACGCCGUAAACGAUGAGUGCUAAGUGUUA